ACAGGAUCCCAAGGACCUGCACAAUUGCCAGCAUAUUCACACACUGCCCCUCUAAGCCAGGGAAUUGAGGGCCGCAGACGUGAAAGGCUGCGGUGAACUUUUCCAUUUUCAGCAUAAUUGCUUCAAACUGUGGCUGAGCAGGCAGGCCCCAAGCACCACCUGCCAUCAAACACUCAGAGGGGUGAAGAGUCCCAGCAUUUCCCACCUCCAGGCUGGCAAAAGGCUUCAGCUGGCCUCACCAGAAGUCCUGCCCCUCACACGGAGGCCCCGCCUCCUUACUCUCAUUGAGCCUGCUCUGCUGCUGGUCCAGGUAGAUUUUUUUCUGGUCACCUUGCUGUUUCCGGGUUACUCGUAAAGCUUCCGGGAACAUGGUUGUCUUAAGCUCUUUAAAACCUACCUGAUAACCUAAUGGUUUAUUCUCUUCUCCCUGGGCUGAGGGGUAGAGGAAAAGCGCAGAAACUCGCACACUUGCUGCAGACUCUUCCUGAAGCAUCUCCACCUGGCUGUGCCCUGUAAACUCGUCAACAGGGAUACCUCAGUGAUGCAUUUGACUUCUUAGGAGAUGUCCGCUGCGGCUCCAACCAUCAAGUUUUGGACUCAGGCAGGAAGAAGAGGAAAGGUAGGGGGCAAACCCGCAAGGACCACAAGCGUCUUUUAAGGAGGUUACCUUGAGGUCCAUCCACCUGGCCGCUGCUGCUUACCUCUCAUCUGCCAGAACUGUGGCACAGCUCUGCAGGGAGAGCUGGGAAAUGUAGUUUUUCCUUUUUCAGCUGAGCACAUAGUCCUUUCUUCCUCCCAUUACUCUAAAUAUGGUUCUGCAAAGUAUAUUCAGAGAAGUGGAGCUUCUCAUGUCCCAUUCAUG
rnacentral:lncRNA from 1 species